AGUGAACGCUGGCGGUAUGCCUAACACAUGCAAGUCGAACGGCAGCACAGUAGCUUGUUGCUCUUACGGGUGGCGAGUGGCGUACGUGUGAGAUAGAAACCGGUCUCUACUUUUUCGUGGGGGAUAACGUAGGGAAACUUACACUACUACCGCAUACCACCUACGGGUGAAAGCAGUGCAUCUUUGGACCUUGCGCGUUUGACGGAGCCGAUGUCGGAUUAGCUAGUUGGAGGGGUAAAGGCACACCAAGGCGACGAUCCGUAGCUGGUCUGAGAGGAUGAUCAGCCACACUGGAACUGAGACACGGUCCAGACUCCUACGGGAGGCAGCAGUGGGGAAUAUUGGACAAUGGGCGAAAGCCUGAUCCAGCCAUACCGCGUGGGUGAAGAAGGCCUUCGGGUUGUAAAGCCCUUUUGUUGGGAAAGAAAAGCAGCAGGUUAAUACCCCGCGGUUCUGACGGUACCGAAAGAAUAAGCACCGGCUAACUUCGUG
rnacentral:rRNA from 1 species